rnacentral:lncRNA from 1 species
AUCAAACACUCGGUUAGUCAAGGGAUAUCUAUUUACAGAAACAGAAGGGUUCAUAAUAGCAAUACAAGACCAGUUAAUAAACACGAAAAGCUACAGAAAAUACGUAAUGAAGGACAGCACAUUGACAAACGACAUUUGUAGGAAAUGCCAGUUAGCACCCAAAACGAUUCGACACAUAAUGUCGGGUUGCAAGCUGCUUGCACAAACAGAUUAACACAGACACAAUCAAGUAGCAAACAUAAUACAACAAAAGCUUGCAACCAAACACAAAUUAAUAAACAUACCCACACCAUAUUACAAAUACAUACCAGACACAAUCUUAGAAAACUUGUCACACAAGAUAUACUAUGACAGAACAAUCUUAACAGACAAAACCUUUACAUCACAACAGACCAGACAUCACUCUCAUAGACAAGC